AUACGUAGGGGGCGAGCGUUGUCCGGAAUGAUUGGGCGUAAAGGGCGCGUAGGCGGCCCGGUAAGUCUGGAGUGAAAGUCCUGUUUUUAAGAUGGGAAUUGCUUUGGAUACUGUCGGGCUUGAGUGCAGGAGAGGUGAGUGGAAUUCCCAGUGUAGCGGUGAAAUGCGUAGAGAUUGGGAGGAACACCAGUGGCGAAGGCGACUUACUGGACUGUAACUGACGCUGAGGCGCGAAAGUGUGGGGAGCAAACAGGAUUAGAUACCCUGGUAGUCCACACUGUAAACGAUGAAUGCUAGGUGUAGGGGGUAUCGACCCCUUCUGUGCCGCAGUCAACACAAUAAGCAUUCCGCCUGGGGAGUACGGCCGCAAGGUUGAAACUCAAAGGAAUUGGCGGGG
rnacentral:rRNA from 1 species